CUUUUUCAACAAAUACAAAUUUCCCAAUGUGCUGGGCGCGAUUGACUGUACCCACGUGCAGAUCAGACCGCCACGGAAUUCAGAGGAAUGUUUUCGGAACCGAAAACAGUUCCAUUCCCUGAACGUGCAGGCGGUCUGUGAUGUAAACAUGAGAUUUUUGAACAUUUUUGUGGGAUUUCCUGGAUCAUCUCACGACUCCUUCAUCCUAAGCCAGUCAUCGCUGUUUGACAAGUUUGAAACAGGAAACAUGCCUGGUGGCUGGCUGUUAGGCGAUGCGGGUUAUCCAAACAAACCGUGGCUGUUGACCCCAUUGUCUAAUCCUGUUGGUAGAGCAGAAAAACGUUACCAAGAGACACACAUUGCAUCGAGGGGAGUAAUUGAGCGUGCCUUCGGUGUACUUAAAAGCCGGUUUCGAUGUUUAGACACUUCCGGCGGUGCUCUUUUGUACUCACCGUCGAAGGUUUGCGGCAUGGUAAAUGCAUGUUGUAUUUUACACAACAUAUGUGUCGCAAACCGUUUGCCGGUGACUCUUCGUCGCAGUGCUUUCCGACGCGGGAACCGGUCUUCUGCUCUACCGGUGGGUAUGGACGAAGGAGAGGAUUCCCGGCGGACAUUGAUCCAAAAUUAUUUUGCAGUUGCCUAGUUUUACAUCCUGUUGAUGUAUAUCCCCAGGCCAUGUUUGUACAGUUCGUUACCCCGUUUUAUCCUGUUGUUGGGUUCCCGCAAAUAUUUGAUCCUUUUAUCCAACUCUACCAUGGGUGAACCUACUGGUGAUGUGGACCUGACCCUCCGCCAUGUAGCAGACAACCCCCCUCAGGUCCUGCGAUGUAUCUUCCCAAGUGGCGUGGAUGUGAGGAGACACGACAUUUCACCUGAUGUUCCAUGGGUGACCCUACUGGUGAUGUGGACCUGACCCUCCGCCAUGUAGCAGACAACCCCCCUCAGGUCCUGCGAUGUAUCUUCCCAAGUGGCGUGGAUGUGAGGAGACACGACAUUUCACCUGAUGUUCCAUGGGUGACCCUACUGGUGAAGUGGACCUGACCCUCCGCCAUGUAGCAGACAACCCCCCUCAGGUCCUGCGAUGUAUCUUCCCAAGUGGCGUGGAUGUGAGGAGACACGACAUUUCACCUGAUGUUCCAUGGGUGACCCUACUGGUGAAGUGGACCUGACCCUCCGCCAUGUAGCAGACAACCCCCCUCAGGUCCUGCGAUGUAUCUUCCCAAGUGGCGUGGAUGUGAGGAGACACGACAUUUCACCUGAUGUUCCAUGGGUGACCCUACUGGUGAUGUGGACCUGACCCUCCGCCAUGUAGCAGACAACCCCCCUCAGGUCUUCCGGUGUAUCCUUCCUAAGUGGUGUGGAUGUGAAGAGACAGUUCCCUUGAUGUUCCCUGGGCAAUCUACUUACGUACAAUUCAAAUGCAUUACAAAUUUUAAUAAAAACCACAGGAAACUUCUAUUUUUAAAAGUUUAUU